rnacentral:lncRNA from 10 species
UGCGUCCUGGUGAGGACACUGCGUUUCUUUCAGACUUUGAAGAUCUGUCGUUUUAGAAAAGUGGCUGCCUCUGUCACCAGCCCCAUGGUUACUGUCCUGUAGUGUGACUGUCAGGAGGUGUUUCUCAGUCCUUCGUUGUAAGAAUGUAGAUGCCGGUUGCACCUUCUGUUGUCUUGGAAGAGACUGCAGUGCUUGGCUGGAAAAUAAGCUGCUCGGGACUCCUCUGAGAAGCCAAAGUGAAGCUCAGAGAUGGAAAAUUUGGGCAGUUGUCUGGACAUUAGGAGUUGAGUCACCUCCUACCCAUGAGGAACAAGCCUGUGGGGGGACUGAUAUUAUCACUUCUGUCAUCAAGAAAUAAGGCCGCAGGCAUCCCUGAAUAUAGAGCAUUUAUUAAUCGAACUGUGAAAAUGAAACACAGACAGUGAUGACAGCUGGAAGUUGGCCAAUGUCCUGUUGUCAUAUUGCCCUCAGCCUAGGGACUGGCCUGUGGCUCACUGACCCUGUCUCCCACUCUCCACCUCUCAUCAGCACCUGGACCUGGUGCACCUGGUCUACCUCAUGUCCAGUGUUUUCCGCAGUACCUGACUGGUAUCCCCACCCUUGGUUGUUGUGUGGUGAGCUCGUCCCUAUGUUGGCAAGUUACUUAAUUCCUAGGUGUCCCGCCUUCCUCACUGUAAAAUGAGAAUAGUCAUAGCACGAAUGUCAUGAAUCCUUGUGAAGAUUUUAUGAUUAGCACACGAGUUACAAGGAGACACGAUAACUGUUACGUACGUACUCAUUCGUUCGGAAAUACAACAGACAGCUUAGUAUCUCCACCCGGGUCCCUCUGCCCUGUGGGAAUCCAUAAAGAAUUGAUUCUCAUCCCCCAGAAGUGAGAUCCC